rnacentral:rRNA from 1 species
CUACGGGGGGCUCCAGUGGGGAAUAUUGCACAAUGGGGGAAACCCUGAUGCAGCGACGCCGCGUGCGGGAAGAAGGCCUUAGGGUUGUAAACCGCUUUCAAUUGUGAAGAAGGGAUGAGAGUUAAUAGCUUUCUGACUUGACGGUAGCAUUAGAAGAAGCACCGGCUAAUUUCGUGCCAGCAGCCGCGGUAAUACGAAAGGUGCAAGCGUUGUUCGGAUUUACUGGGCGUAAAGAGAUCGUAGGUGGUUUGUUAAGUCGGAUGUGAAAUCCCGGGGCUCAACCUCGGAACUGCAUCCGAUACUGGCAGGCUAGAGUUCGGGAGGGGAAUGCGGAAUUCCGUGUGUAGCAGUGAAAUGCGUAGAUAUGUGGAGGAACACCAAUGGCGAAGGCAGCUCUCUGGCCUGAUACUGACGCUGAGGUGCGAAAGCGUGGGGAGCAAACAGGAUUAGAUACCCUUGUAGUC